AAUACCAGUUUUUUAUUUUUUUUUUCCUACCCUCACUCCUUAUUGCCGAACAACCAUGAGCUCCCAAAUCCGUCAGAAUUAUUCCAUCAGGUGGAGGCUUUGGUCAACCGCCUGGCCAACCUGCAUCUGUGAGCCCCAUACACCUACCUC